UAGAGUUUGAUCAUGGCUCAGGAUGAACGCCGGCGGUGUGCCUAAUACAUGCAAGUCGAACGCGUUGGCCCAAUUGAUUGAUGGUGCUUGCACCUGAUUGAUUUUGGUCGCCAACGAGUGGCGGACGGGUGAGUAACACGUAGGUAACCUGCCCAGAAGCGGGGGACAACAUUUGGAAACAGAUGCUAAUACCGCAUAACAGCGUUGUUCGCAUGAACAACGCUUAAAAGAUGGCUUCUCGCUAUCACUUCUGGAUGGACCUGCGGUGCAUUAGCUUGUUGGUGGGGUAACGGCCUACCAAGGCGAUGAUGCAUAGCCGAGUUGAGAGACUGAUCGGCCACAAUGGGACUGAGACACGGCCCAUACUCCUACGGGAGGCAGCAGUAGGGAAUCUUCCACAAUGGGCGCAAGCCUGAUGGAGCAACACCGCGUGAGUGAAGAAGGGUUUCGGCUCGUAAAGCUCUGUUGUUAAAGAAGAACACGUAUGAGAGUAACUGUUCAUACGUUGACGGUAUUUAACCAGAAAGUCACGGCUAACUACGUGCCAGCAGCCGCGGUAAUACGUAGGUGGCAAGCGUUAUCCGGAUUUAUUGGGCGUAAAGAGAGUGCAGGCGGUUUUCUAAGUCUGAUGUGAAAGCCUUCGGCUUAACCGGAGAAGUGCAUCGGAAACUGGAUAACUUGAGUGCAGAAGAGGGUAGUGGAACUCCAUGUGUAGCGGUGGAAUGCGUAGAUAUAUGGAAGAACACCAGUGGCGAAGGCGGCUACCUGGUCUGCAACUGACGCUGAGACUCGAAAGCAUGGGUAGCGAACAGGAUUAGAUACCCUGGUAGUCCAUGCCGUAAACGAUGAGUGCUAGGUGUUGGAGGGUUUCCGCCCUUCAGUGCCGGAGCUAACGCAUUAAGCACUCCGCCUGGGGAGUACGACCGCAAGGUUGAAACUCAAAGGAAUUGACGGGGGCCCGCACAAGCGGUGGAGCAUGUGGUUUAAUUCGAAGCUACGCGAAGAACCUUACCAGGUCUUGACAUCUUGCGCCAACCCUAGAGAUAGGGCGUUUCCUUCGGGAACGCAAUGACAGGUGGUGCAUGGUCGUCGUCAGCUCGUGUCGUGAGAUGUUGGGUUAAGUCCCGCAACGAGCGCAACCCUUGUUACUAGUUGCCAGCAUUAAGUUGGGCACUCUAGUGAGACUGCCGGUGACAAACCGGAGGAAGGUGGGGACGACGUCAGAUCAUCAUGCCCCUUAUGACCUGGGCUACACACGUGCUACAAUGGACGGUACAACGAGUCGCGAACUCGCGAGGGCAAGCAAAUCUCUUAAAACCGUUCUCAGUUCGGACUGCAGGCUGCAACUCGCCUGCACGAAGUCGGAAUCGCUAGUAAUCGCGGAUCAGCAUGCCGCGGUGAAUACGUUCCCGGGCCUUGUACACACCGCCCGUCACACCAUGAGAGUUUGUAACACCCAAAGUCGGUGGGGUAACCUUUUAGGAGCCAGCCGCCUAAGGUGGGACAGAUGAUUAGGGUGAAGUCGUAACAAGGUAGCCGUAGGAGAACCUGCGGUUGGAUCACCUCCUUA
rnacentral:rRNA from 2 species